UCCAAAUUCAGAGUAAGGGGUUAGUAUCACAAGUCUAUGAUGCAUGUUAUUUAGAAUACUGUAUGUGGCGAUAACGCAUUAUUAAAGUAAUGUAUCAUUAACAGAAAAAGAUCUCUGGUUUGGUAAUAAGAAGGUGGUGAAAAAGAGGGAGGAAGCCAGGAGACUUUUCAUGGAGUUCCAUUCCUCCCCCAUGGGAGGUCAUACUGGCAUCCUUAAAACAUGGGCAGCAAUCUCUUCCAGGUUCUACUGGACCGGGAUGUCUGUAGACAUAAAAAAUUGGAUCUUAGAAUGUGACAGAUGCCAAAAGGUUGGAAAACCAUUGACUGCAGUGGGGGAGUUGCAGCCGAUAAAGGUCUCUGGCGUGUGGGAUUUGAUUGGGAUCGACCUUACUGGACCACUUCCCAAAACUGUCAAUGGCU